ACAGUAGAGCUAAUGAGGCAAUCACGUCGACGUAACCAACUAAGGCAAAGAACGUAUAUAUUGCCAAGAAGUGAAAGUCAAUUGUUCGUUCCAUUGCAACAUCAGCACCCAGCAACAAAGCUACGUUUCUGCCAUUUUGGACCGAAAGCGACUACUGGUGCUCUGAUUAGAAGCAAUUAAGUAUCAGCCAAUCAGGUGUGGCCAGAGAGACAUGCUGCUGAGAGACUGCAGAAAGACAAAUUAAGCUGAUGCACUUCUGCCUCACAAACAAACACUAUUUGACAGAAAGUUAGAUAACUUUGUUUUACAGUAACUGUUAGUUAACGUGCUCCUGUGCUUAUGUAUGUCAACUUAGCUAAGAAUAUCUCGAGUUAAACUACAUGACACAGAUAUUGACCACUUUGCAGCCCAGAGGGACAAGAAAAUUUUCUGGGCAAAAGCAUCCAUCACAUUAUUAAAAUCAAGAGCUCCAACCAGAUCAUUGCCCACAGGAUAAUAGCAGAGACCCCUCUAGUGUGUGGUGAGACAGGAUACAGCGCCCCUACAGUAGAGGAAAUCAUGUCAACACAACUGAGGAGAAGCCAGGACUAUUUGGAGUUUCACUGGGAAAUUUCAUGACCUGGAUAUUGACCACUUUGCCUCCCUGAAGGACAAGAAAAUGCAAGCUAUGUCCUCAAAUACUAUAUGCAGCCUCCAUGGAUGACAUCUGGGAAGAAGAGGAACGUUACACAGACCAACUGAGAGAAACUUCUCUGUGCUGAAGCUCUGAGAGAAAAGACACAAGGUGUUUGGGGGAGGAGCAGCAGACUGUGUGGAGGCGAGGACAUCAAGAAAACGCUGGAGGAGCAGCUGGAGAACCACAGAGAGGCUGAUGGGAAGCAGCUCAGCAGCCUCCAAGAAGAGAUCUAAAACAAGCAGAGGAUGCUGGACGAACUCAAAAUGAGUGCAGAGUUCUCGACCCACACUGAGGAGGACCGUUUACUUAUUCCACAUCUUUGUUCUCUACUGUAUGAACAUACUCUAUAUAUCCUACCUACCCGUAGUCAAACGAAAAGUAACUACAGCUGCUUGAUUGGUCCGAAAUGAAUCCAAAAAUAAAACUGAAUAAUAUUUGUGAAUUCAUCCAGCUAAUGUAGACUUUUGAAGCUCAAUGAUUGGUUGUUUCUUAGAGCAAUGCUCUCGUGGACUUGACUUCUACAUUUAUGUAUUUAACUUUUUAAAGCAAAAAUGUCUGAUCUUCUGUACUGAAGAUUUUUUAACUCUUGAGAGUUUUAUGUUCAUACCAGUGUUGAAAAUGUCCCAACAGCCACCUGAUGUUAAAGUCUAUCAACUGAAC